rnacentral:rRNA from 1 species
UACAGAGGUGGCAAGCGUUGUUCGGAAUUACUGGGCGUAAAGGGCGCGUAGGCGGCCUUCUAAGUCAGACGUGAAAUCCCCCGGCUUAACCUGGGAACUGCGUCUGAUACUGGCAGGCUAGAGUGCGGUAGAGGGUAGUGGAAUUCCCGGUGUAGCGGUGAAAUGCGUAGAGAUCGGGAGGAACACCAGUGGCGAAGGCGGCUACCUGGACCAGCACUGACACUGAGGCACGAAAGCGUGGGGAGCAAACAGGG